UGGAAGCCAAACCACAAGCGGAGCGGAAGCC
rnacentral:piRNA from 1 species